GGCGUGGGUCGUGGCGUCCGCCUCACGGUGUGACGCCGUGCUCGCGCCCUCCUCGUGCGGAAGCGUGCGGCAUUAACUUGUCGUGCGUGGACGUGCGUCCUUUACUGUGAAAAAAUUAGAGUGUUUAAAGCAGGCGUGCAUUGCUUGAAUACAUUAGCAUGGAAUAAUGAGAUAGGACUUGGGUGCUAUUUUGUUGGUUGCGUACCUAGGUA
rnacentral:rRNA from 1 species